GACGAACGCUGGCGGCGUGCUUAACACAUGCAAGUCGAACGGAAAGGCCCUGCUUUUGUGGGGUGCUCGAGUGGCGAACGGGUGAGUAACACGUGAGUAACCUGCCCUUGACUUUGGGAUAACUUCAGGAAACUGGGGCUAAUACCGGAUAGGAGCUCCUGCUGCAUGGUGUGGGUUGGAAAGUUUCGGCGGUUGGGGAUGGACUCGCGGCUUAUCAGCUUGUUUGUGGGGUAGUGGCUUACCAAGGCUUUGACGGGUAGCCGGCCUGAGAGGGUGACCGGCCACAUUGGGACUGAGAUACGGCCCAGACUCGUACGGGAGGCAGUAGUGGGGAAUAUUGCACAAUGGGCGGAAGCCUGAUGCAGCAACGCCGCGUGCGGGAUGACGGCCUUCGGGUUGUAAACCGCUGUCGCCUGUGACGAAGAGUGAGUGACGGUAAUGGGUAAAGAAGCACCGGCUAACUACGUG
rnacentral:rRNA from 1 species